GCUGUGAUGGCCGAGUGGUUAAGGCGUUGGGCUCGAAAUCCAAUGGGGUUACCCCGCGCAGGUUCAAACCCUGCUCACAGCG